rnacentral:lncRNA from 1 species
UCUCCCACUUCCGCACUGGAGCAUCGGUGCAUCUUCUCUUCACAUGCCCGAAUCAUUACAACCUCGCUUCCCACAUCUUGUCCUCUAUCAAGGCCACUCCUACCUUGUCUCGCAUAUCAUUAUUUCUAAUCUCAGCUCUCCUAGUAUGCCCAUACAUGUAUCUCAACAUCCUCAUUUUCACAACUUUUCUGAAUAUGAGAGUUAUUGACCAAACCAACAUUCC